UACAGAGGUCCCGAGCGUUGUUCGGAUUCACUGGGCGUAAAGCGUGCGCAGGCGGUUCGUUGUGUCGGCGGUGAAAGCCCCGGGCUCAACCUGGGAAUGGCCGUUGAAACUGGCGAACUGGAGUGUGGCAGAGGGGGGUGGAAUUCCGCGUGUAGCAGUGAAAUGCGUAGAGAUGCGGAGGAACACCGAUGGCGAAGGCAGCCCCCUGGGCUGACACUGACGCUCAGGCACGAAAGCGUGGGGAGCAAACAGG
rnacentral:rRNA from 1 species